GACGAACGCUGGCGGCGUGCUUAACACAUGCAAGUCGAACGGAAAGGCCCCUUCGGGGGUACUCGAGUGGCGAACAGGUGGGUAACACGUGCUUAACCUGCCCUUGACUUCGGGAUAACUUCAGGAAACUGGGGCUAAUACCUGAUAGGAAUCCUUUCUGCAUGGUGGGGGUUGGAAAGCUUCGGCGGUUUUGGAUGGACUUGCGGCUUAUCAGCUUGUUGGUGGGGUAGUGGCUUACCAAGGCUUUGACGGGUAGCCGGCCCGAGAGGGCGACCGGCCACAGUGGGACUGGGACAGGGCCCAGACCCCGACGGGAGGGAGAAGUGGGGAAGAGUGAAAAAGGGGAGGAAGCCUGAGGCAGCACCGCCGAGGGCGGGAUGACGGUGUUCGGGUUGUAAUCGGAAUGCAGCAGGGGCGAAGAUUGUGGUGACGGUACCGGCAGAAGAAGCACCGGCUAACUACGUG
rnacentral:rRNA from 1 species